AAAUUUCGGUCAGGCCGCAUCUCCGCCGAGCACGCAAAGCCUCCAAAUCCCCUUGACGGCUUGACCCCUUCCCUCCGUAGACGUUCCAUGGCCACCAACGACGUGGGUGCGCCUCUCCGUCGCGCACCAGACCCGUUUCGCGCUCCGCCUCGCCGCUGCACUCUCCUCCCCCUCCUCUUCCUCCUCCAGCAACACCAUCAUUAUUUCGCCGCUCUCCCUCCACGUCGCGCUCAGCCUCCUCGCCGAUGCGCGACCAGCUGCUCGCCGCCCUCGGCGGAGGAGAUGGGACGAACGCGGCCGAUAGCCUGCAUGCGCUCACCGAGAAGGUGGCUCGCGGUGGCGGUGGGGGCAAGGGAUGCAGCGAAGGAGGCGCCGCAAGCCGGGGCGGGCGCUCGCCUAUGCCUCGACCGGCGACCCGUGCGUCGACUUCUUCCAAGUCGUCCCCGGCGUCCGCCCCGAUCCCGCCCGAUCCAUGGCGUCGGAGAUCGAGGUGCUCGAGGACACCCCCUCAUCUCGGCGGCGUCCACGGCCCCUCCCAUCGAGGAUGGUGCGGGGGCGGCGGCCGCCGAGGACGAGGCACUGAAGAACGACGCGUACACCGCAACGACCUACGGCGAUCUGGAGAAGAUGCAGCGGCUGGUGGAGGGGGAGGGCCGGUCCGUCGGCGAGCCCGACAGUGGGGGUACCACGCACUCCAGUGGGCCGUGCUCUACAACCGUGUCGCCGCCAUGCAGUACAUCCUCGAGGUUGCCCUCUGCCACCGCCCUCCUCUCCGCCUCCCAGCUCCUCCCCCGGCACCCUCCUCGCCGCCGACUGACUGAUAUAAAACGGGAGCUCCUUCCAUCUUGAUGUGCAAAGGGCCGCACCGCUGUGCUCGCCAUGCUCACCAACCUGGGCUGGAAGACCCUCCCCACUGCCUAUGCCUACCACGAGCAGGGAUAGCACCGCGCCUCCUUGGGAGGGGGAGCCUUCGCCGCCGCCGUCCCUAAUGCAGGGUUCAUUGGAUGCACUAAAUGAGAUUCUUAAAGAACCUGCACCAACGAACCGUUUCAGACCAAAGUAAUUUGUGGGCAGUAUUUUAGUGGAUGGAUGCCAACCAUAUUCAGAGGAUCCGUGGAAAACCAUAAAGAUAAACAACCUAACAUUUCAAGGUGUGAAGCUAUGCAGCCGUUGCAAGGUAAGAUAUUGUAUUAAUAUUCUCCUAGCUUUGAAAUUGAUUAUGCAGUUUAUGUCUGGAGGGGACAUGAUAACUUUGAUGGAAAAAAUUCAGUGGACGGGGAGGAGAAAGCGCACUCCAAAUCUCGCGUCGCCCCCUUCUUCCCUGUGGCGCCUGCAGAGGCUCUUGGCAGCAUUGCUCCAUUGCGCCACUUCAUGGGGUUCCAACAUAUCCUGUCUAGAGAAGCAGGGUUGCGAUCAUGCAGCGGAGCAGCAAGUUUGGAACCAUCCAUGUUGGCAUAUCCGGCAGCAUGGUGGGGACAUGGGAGUAUUUGCCUCUCUGUUUUAGCAUCUUAUUCUUCAACUUUGUCAUCCAUCUGGCCAUCUGCAUCUAAAGACAACUAUGGCUUGCUUGUUCUGAUCAAGGACUCGAAGAACCCAUCCAAUCAAGGUAUGCAAAUUGACAUAAUUGAUGAUGCACAUGAUCCAUGCCAACUUGGCCAGAAGGUGAAUCUUUCUUGGACAUCUAUCGACAGGAGUUGUCAACCUCAUUGAAGAAAUAUCGCACAUCUCGCAUUUCUGAUAAUUAAUCAAAGAUAAAGUUAAAUAUCAUGUACAAUCCUUCGGCUUGGUACUCCUGUAGGUUCCAGUGUGAGAAUGUACCAAAGAUUGUAAGCAGUUCUCUCAUUAUUGGUGAAAACAGUGGCGGAUGUAGGAUUGAGUUUUAGGGGGGCCUCUCCUCCUCUUCUUCCUCCUCCCACCUCCCCUUUCCUCUUUCCUCUUUCUUCCUUCUCAAAUUUGUAGGGGGGGGCUCGUGGGGGCUCCAAUGGAGUUCGUGGAGCUAGGGGGGCUGGAUCCCCCCGCACCCACGCUAGCUCCGCCCCUGGGUAAAAAGAGUGUAUUUCAAAUCUGAUUGGUGGGUAAUGUGUAAUUUCAAACACACUAUUUCUAUGAGCUGUGAGGAGCAAAUUUAGAAGUGUUAUUAUGCAGAUGCCUUCUUUUUUUAGGUGUUUUUCUCUCAGCUUUUGCAUUCUUAUCUGACCCCAAUUUUAAAGGGUCUUUCAGACUUAAUAAUUUUUCAUUCUAAAGGUAGAUGUGGCUACGAAUACAUAUUUAUUGUAAUAUAAUCUUUUAUUUGAUUUUUGAAAGAUACGUGCGGCACGCACGUGCACCAUACUACUUAAGAAAUAAGUGUAUGUUUUUAUUACGACACGAUACAAUAUUUCAUAUGAUAUGAUUAUGGUUCUUGAUGCAGCAGAGAUCAGAGGCUGAACGGCGAGUUCAAUUAGCAGCAAAUGGAGCACGUGAUCGUUACGGGCAUGUGCACAUCAAGACCCGAUGAUCCACAGCAACAGAUCGGCAGUGCGCAUGGAAAACGGGCUGGCAGGGCGAUAGAAUGGACCCAUUCUUCAUGGUAGCAGGGCGUGUGUCCUUGCAACAACCGAUCGGCGACCGUCAUCCCUGGGAAUGGAUCAGUGACAUGGCCAUCCAUCCCUUGCAACAAGAGAAAGAACUGCAACAUGCUCCAUAGUAGCUGAUAGCAAAUCAUUGGCAUGCAAUUUUUUUUUCAAUACCUUUCGUUCAUGUAACUCGUAGUGCUAAUGAGGUGGCCCAUGUGCUGGCUCGAUCGGGUGAGCAAUAGGCUUAUUCGGUCUUCCCGCUUUGUAUCCCUGGUUGCAUUCAGGAAAAUUCGGUACUCACCUUUGAGCGAAUGAAUAGAGCCAACCUUACUAAAAAAAAUCACCCUAAGGGCGUUCCCCA